rnacentral:rRNA from 1 species
GAGUAAUGCGUGACCAACCUGCCCCAUGCUCCAGAAUAGCUCUUGGAAACGGGUGGUAAUGCUGGAUGCUCCAACUUGACGCAUGUCUUGUUGGGAAAGUGUUUAGUGGCAUGGGAUGGGGUCGCGUCCUAUCAGCUUGUAGGCGGGGUAAUGGCCCACCUAGGCUUCGACGGGUAGCCGGCCUGAGAGGGCGGACGGCCACAUUGGGACUGAGAUACGGCCCAGACUCCUACCGGGAGGCAGCAGC